GACGAACCGUGCAAACGUUAUUCGGAAUCACUGGGCAUAAAGGGCGCGUAGGCGGCUCCAAAAGUCAGGGGUGAAAUCCGGCAGCUUAACUGUCGCAGUGCCUUUGAUACUGUGGAGCUAGAGGGAGGUAGGGGUCUGUGGAACUUCCGAUGGAGCGGUGAAAUGCGUUGAUAUCGGAAGGAACGCCGGUGGCGAAAGCGACGGACUGGAUCUCUUCUGACGCUGAGGCGCGAAAGCCAGGGGAGCAAACGGG
rnacentral:rRNA from 1 species